GAGUUUGAUCCUGGCUCAGAGCGAACGCUGGCGGCAGGCCUAACACAUGCAAGUCGAACGCUAUAGCAAUAUAGAGUGGCAGACGGGUGCGUAACGCGUGGGAAACUUCCUAUUAGUACAGAAUAGCCCAGGGAAACUUGGAUUAAUACUGUAUACGCCCUACGGGGGAAAGAUUUAUCGCUAAUAGAUGUGCCCGCGUAAGAUUAGCUAGUUGGUGAGGUAAUGGCUCACCAAGGCUACGAUCUUUAGCUGGUCUGAGAGGAUGAUCAGCCACACUGGAACUGAGACACGGUCCAGACUCCUACGGGAGGCAGCAGUGGGGAAUAUUGGACAAUGGAGGCAACUCUGAUCCAGCCAUGCCGCGUGAAUGAUGAAGGCCUUCGGGUUGUAAAGUUCUUUUAGCGGGGAAAAUAAUGAUGGUACCCGCAGAAAAAGCACCGGCUAACUUCGUGCCAGCAGCCGCGGUAAU
rnacentral:rRNA from 1 species